rnacentral:tRNA from 1 species
GUACAUAUCUCAGUGGUAGAGAAGUUGCUUCACAUGCAAGAGGCCACGGGUUCCAUCCCCAGUAAACA